UUUUUUUUUUAACCCCCCUGACUAUUCUGAAUCCCUUGCAAUUCCAUAUAAAAGAAAGAAGUUAGACCCAAGCUCACAUCGUAUUUAUUUUAUUUGUUUAACUUGGAGUCUCUGUGAAAACCAGAGUCCAGGAAGGAGACAAUUAUGGGGAAUACUCUUAAGUAAGGCUAACAUCUGGUCUUCCAAACUCUUACUAGAAUCAUCCGUUAAGUCUUGUUUAUGGCAUUCUAGGACCUCUCUAAACUACCACUUCACACUCUUCCAUGUUCUUCUCACAAACCAUAUCCAAGAGCCCGAGAACCACAUGGUCAAGUAUAGCAAAACCCCAUUCCUGAUGCCAGUUUGUUGUCUGGUUACCUUUUUAUCAUCUUGACUAAAUACCAGGCACAACAUUACUUGUGGGAGGAACCAUUUGUAUUGGUCACAGGGCUGGGGAGAGGGGGUUGUGGUAAUGGCAGUGACUUGAAGUCCUGGUGCCAGGAACAUGGGACUUCUUGAUCAUAUUGCCAUAGACCAAGAAGUAGAAGGCUUGGGUAGAAGUAGGGUCAUUCUGUAACUCUCACUGCUUAGAUCCUGAAGGUUCCACAGACUCCUAAACAGCGCCUCAACAGGUAGAGACCAGGGGUUUAGACACAUAGCCUUUGGGGGUAUUUUAUUUAAUAGGAACAUAUUUUAUAUUAGGGAAGGCUUUGGAAAUCUGCUCAGGUUUAUUGUAUCGCCUAGUUUGUGGUCUGUCCUGAAGAAUACUGUGUGUAUACCUGAAAUGAAUUUACGAUCUGCUAUUGCUGAAUGGUAUGUUUUAGUCUAUGAAUGAGGGCAAAUUUACUUAAAUCAUUGUUCAGUCUUACCUUUGCUUAGUUCUUAAAUCAUUGAAAAUGGGGUUUUGAGGUUUCCAAGUAUUCAUUAUCCAUUUCAUUUGUAUCAGUUUCUGUCGUAUAUUUUCACUUCCUGUUAUCAGCACCAUCUUUUAAUAAUUGUGUGUCUUCCCAGUUAUUUAUCAUUUCCAAGUGUUCCUCACUGUGUAGUAUCAUUCUGUUUAAGUCAGUCUUGUCUGCUAUUAGUACUGUGUCUGCAUGGCACACCUUUACCAUAUUUGAGUCUAGGUGUAUUUGAAAGUGUGUCUCUUGAAACAACCAUGCAUUUCAAUUAUUUUCAAUAGUGCUUCUCAACCUUCAUAGUGUUGUGACCCUUUAAUACAGUUCUUUAUGUUGUGACCCCCCCAACCAUACAAUUAUUUUCAUUGCUACUUCAUAACUUUAAUUUUGCUAUGAUAUGAAUCAUGAAUGAAAAUAUCUGUGUUUUCUAGUCAUCUUAGGUGACACCUGUGAAAGUUGUUAGCCCCCAACAAGCUUGCUACCUUUGGGUUAGGAACUGCUGAUGUAUUGGGUACUGUUAGAGGAAAUUUUCAGCUAUUUUUUAAAAUAAUUGUUCUGCUCCAUGUUUUGUCUCUGCUCUAACAGUACUUUCAUUAUUUAUCUAGUAUUGUAAUUAAAGGGUUUUGAUGUUUUUCAGAGACAUUGUUAGUUUUUUCUUUGUUUUUCUCUCUAUUCUUUUUAUAGCACAAUGUGUCACAAUCUCUGUCAGUCAGUCUUCAAGUUUGAUACUCCAUUUUCUGCCAGAUCACAUGUUGGGCAGUUUGGUUUUUUUUUUUUUAACUUCUUAUUGAUUCUUUGUGAAUUUCACAUCAUGCAAUCCCACUCAUCUCUCGGUCCCUUUGUAUCUGCCAUCUGCCCUUGCAAUCUCCCCUACCC
rnacentral:lncRNA from 1 species